GUGCUUGCUUCGGCAGCACAUAUACUAAAAUUGGUACUAUACAGAGAAGAUUAGCAUGGGCCCUGUGCAAGGAUGACAUGCAAAUAAAAAAAAAAAAAAGAAUAAUGU
ensembl:snRNA U6 U6 spliceosomal RNA